GACAGAUGGUGGGCAGGGAGGGUAGUGCUAUGACCUCAGCGCGGUGCCUGGGGAGCACUGAUAUGCAGCCUUUGCUAGCACUUGCCAGGAAAAGAAGUGACCUUGCUCUGCUGACUGGGACCUGGGGGCCUUGGGAUGAAAUGUUGGCAGCAAAGGACCUGUUUGCAGAGCUUCACUGUCCCUGCACCAGCAGAGGAACUGAUGCCUUCAGCUACCUCCAUCCAACAGGAAGCCACACAGCUCCUUCUCCCUGGCAUUUGGCAGAGAGCACUCGGCUGUCCUUCCAUGUGAGAAAACAAGUAAAGAUGGCAAGAAAAACGACAUAUGAAAUUAGUGAAAGAGGAAAUAUAUGACUAAAAUCCUGCACCAAGAUGUGAACCUACCUGCAGAUGGGAAGGCUGGUAAAUACAUUAAUUCCACCUUCAAAUUAUUCUCCCUCAAACUGAGAUCUUGGUUCAAGUUUCCAAUUUGAUGUGGUUGAAGAAGACACAAGUGGAGAGACAAGAGGUUGGUGGAAGUGCCUAAGGUAACUGAGCAGGUUUGGCACUGUUCAUGGCACCCACUUUUGUGCAGGGUCUGCAAGCUCAGCCCCCGAGAGACACUUUCCAGGGAUCUCUCCAUACACAGCCUCAGAUUGGGAGGGCUGUGGUCAGCAAAGGGUACGGAAUGGGUUCCCAGAUUGGGUGGCACUUGCUCUCUACGUAUGCCAGGCUCAAUGCAAGGCUGAGCUGAUGGGCCUAGAAGUCACGAGAUAAACAGCUCAUAGAACUGUGGAGAAAAGAUCACUGUGAACUGGAAUGCAAAUGGGUAACUGGUUAGUACUUGGGCAGGUGGGUAGGAUUGGACACAUCUUACUUAAGAAUUACUAUGUAUAAAUGCACCAUUUUAGGGAAAAGAAAUCAUUAUUUGCACUUGCAAUUUUUUGUGCUCCCUUUUAUGCGACCCUCAGCCUUGGAAACCCAAGUUUAAAUAAAGUGAAUAGCUAGCCCUUUAAGGCAAGAGACAAAACAAAAGCCAGAACUCCACACAUAAUCCACUGAAGCCCUUUACUUCCUGUUUUUGAUCAGCAGCCCAUUUUUCUUUCACUGUUGUGAGAGAUUUCAAUGGCUUUAAUUUAUUCAUUAAUCUACAUGUAUUUCUGCACCAUAUUUUUUGCCAGUUAAGUCUAUAAAAAGAUAUUUGUCAUGGGACUGAAAAUAAAAUAUUUUAAAACCUGUAAAAUCAUGGAAACAGAUUUGAUUAAAUUCCAAAUGACUAGCUUUGCAUAUAAUUUCCCCCUCUGGACUGUGUGCCUUAAAGAUAAAUAUCAUGUCUUCUUCAUCACAUCAAUAAUAGGUGUUAGAUACAUAUUUAUUGGAUUAAUGUGUCUCUGUUAUCUAUUGCUGUGUAACAAAGUAUCCUAAAGCUUAGUGGAGUAAAAUAACAGCCUCUGGAUUUUAUUCUUUGCAGGUUUUUUUGCCAGGCAGUUCAUUUCUGCUCCAUGUACCCUCACCUGCAACUCCUUGCCUAGGCCCAGAGGAUCCACUUCCAAGGUGGCUCAUUCCCAUGGCUCACCUGUCUCUGCAAGUUGUCAGGGAUGGGAAAAGUCAGGCUCAGAAAGGAUGCUGGGACAGUGGGGGUCUGCUUCUUCUCCAUGUCAUCUCAGGGCUUCUACUUUUCCACAUUUUCUCUCUACAUGGUCCUGCCACAUGUCACACAUCUCCAGGGGAGCAGCUAGACAUGCUCAUGUUAGAAAAAUGCCAAAGGGAAACUGAUAAAACCUGGUGCAGUUUAGACUGUGACUCAGAAUGGAGUCUGUUCUGCUGCACUCCACAGACUCAGGGUGGGAGAGGACCACACAAGGGCAUGGGUAGCAGUGGCAUGAGUAACUGAUCCAUCUUUAGAAACUAAUAUCUCUUGAAUGCACGAACAUAGUCAUUGAAGAACCCUUCAGGUUUGAAGAAAGAAAGAAAUCGAAAGACAAGUGAAAGAAAGUACUACACAAAGCCAUAUAUCUAUAUAAAGAGAGAGCAUGGUGCCCUGGGAGGUGACAGGUGAAAUAUAGUAGAGAAAUACAUGGAAACAUGUGAGGUCCAGUUCCAUAAAGUGCAAUGUUACAUGAUGUCACACUGCUAAGCUUAUGAAAUGCUAUUAGCUGCGUUCUCCCAAACAAAAAUAUUUUAAUAGAUUUACGAUGAAGAAGGAAUUUGAAUAACCAAGGACAAUGGACUAAAGUCAUGGUUAUUAGAGGACUUCUUUCUGGAAUUGGUACUAGACCAUCACACAUAGAACACAGGAGUAGGAUGGACCACUCAAAUCCUAUAAUAUAAAUUCUUGUAUCCUUGCUUUCUCUUUUAAAAAAUAGGCACAUGAGAUUCUUCUAGGUAAGUCACAAUAUCUGAAUUUAUUAAUAUGUUAUAAUGACUAUUUUUAUAUAAGUUAAAGUGUGAAAAAUAUUUCAGUAGAUCAUGGUAUAUGUCCAUAUGGUAUAGCUGGUAUGUCAGAUGCAAUUUUAGCAUCUUAUAGUUAACAUCGUGAGGGGAGAGAUGUACUAAUGCUUUCACAGGAAGGGCUCCCGCACAAUUGUGCAAAACCUCACUGCAGAGAUUGCUGAAUGAGCAUCGCAGAAGAGACCUUGCCCUGUUCUUUGGCCAUAUCUCAGUGCCCACAUAUGCUAUUAUGCAAUAGCCUUGGGCUCACUUUGGAAAUUUACAAAACAUUACCCAGAAGUUUUGCUGUUAAAAAGAUCCUGCAGAACAUCGCAUCCCUUCUACUUCUGGCCUGGCCUCACAACAGGCUCCUCUGGCACCUUCUAAGUUUCAGCCUUUGUCUCUACUCCUGCUCCCUCCAGAAGAGCUCUGUAGGCUUGGGGUUGGUGCUUCUCCUCAUCAACAGGAAGGUACCACUGUGCAACCCCACAGGGAGCAGAAGAGCCCUUGGAGAAAGGACUGCCCUAAACUGAGGCGCCCUCCACCUGCUUCUGUGAGCCUCCUUAGAAGAACGUGGCAAGAUGCCUGUGGGGCAGGUCCGCCGAGGAAGCCUACUUGGGCAUGGGUUUCCAGGGAGAACAGGCAACUGUGGAAGCUGAUUCAUUUGCUUGACACUCUUAUCCUCUGAGCUUCUGUCCUUCCCACACCCCUGCCUACUCAUCACACGUAUCACACACUCACACAGAUGUGUACACCCUUACAUAUAGAAAUGCACGUUCACCGAUGCAGCUGGACACAUGCACUUACAUGCAAUUGUUUACUGGGCGCCUAGUUUUGGUUUUGGAAGAUGGAGACAUUCUGGAGAUUGACUGCACAAUAAUUUAAAUAUCUUUCACAUUACUGAACGGAACAUUUAAAAAUGGUUAAGAUUGUAAAUUUUAUGUUAUGUGUAUUUUGCCACAAUCUAAAAACUUAUAAAAAGAAGACAGUGAUAUUCACUGUGUGUGUAUGUGGGGGGGGGGGGAUUGGUUACAUCUUUUGUUCCUAAGGAGAAGGCAGCUUUCCUCCACCUGGCCUCCUGGAUGGCCCUCCAAUGAUCACCUGUGGCUCUGCCGGAAAGUAGAUUGAGGGUGAUCUCAGACCAUUGGCAAUACGAUGUGCCUAGGGCAGGUUAAGCAAAAAGAAAACAUCCUCCAUUCUGGAACUGUCCAUGGUGUGGUUUGACAUCUUUCCAGAAAGAAAGAAAAGUAAGUUGAGAAAGGGCAGUGUACCAAAAAAGUCAGAAUAAUGGUCCUGACUUAGACUCCAAGCUUUAUUUCAGAGGCACUUUAUAAAUUCCUUCUUGUGGCUUUAAAUGUCAUGACCAUUCUUUGUAAAAACUCUCCUGAGGUUUACAUAUAGAUAGGAGUGGGAAGAGAGGGCCACUCAUUUUUGCCCACUGCUCACUACUGUAGCUGGGGCAUGACUGUAAAUUCUUCACCCAGCCUCCCUUCCCUUCCUUCCCCAUGACACCUCCUUCUAGAGUAGAAAAUUUCUCUCUAACUCUUCCAGUGUCAAGGGCAAUGGAGGAGAAAGGCCAUCCCCAGAGAUGGAAUCUGAACAUUCGUGUCAGAGGGUUGGGCAUCUUUUUACAAGGACAGUUGUUAUUUAUAUCCAUUGACUUCCCUCUGGAACUACAGCUGUGGCCAAUAAAAUCCAGGUCUUUUUCACCUGGAAAAGCACAGUAGCAUCCAGUUAUAACUGGGUCCUUUGUUUGAAAUGUGAGAUUGUACAUGUAAACCAAAUAGAGAGUACUGAAACGUUCAUUGCCUAGGCAAAUACAGUCUACUUCUUGUGUACUGCCAAGUAAGGAAAAGAUGGUGGCUUGUCUAGAGAGAAGAGAGUCAAUACCACUGAAAUAAAAACUCAGAAUUAAAGGAUCAAGCCUGAAAUUCCUCUUCUUGUUCAUCUUCUUUUUGCUCACAACUCCCAAAGGUCACGACACAUUUCUCAUGGAAGCCAGGAUCCUUGGUGAUGGGCAUCUUGCCCUGCCCCUUGAGUAGGCAAUGAGGUGCAAAUGACAGCUUACUUCAAAGCUCACUCAACAGGAUAUUGGGAUGAUGACCAGGGCUCAUGCAGUCAGAGGGAGGCACAUCUGCUCAGAGGUCCCAUCUUGAGCCAGUGAGGGCAGGAAAAUGGAGGCAGAACCUAAUGACCCUAGUGACCUUUCCAAGAGUUUCCUCUUGCUCCACACCAUGGCUGAGGUCUCAACAGCAUGUCCUGAAAGGACAGUGAGAAGUUAGCCAUGCCAUGAUGCAAGUCACCGUAUCCUCCAUGCUGUCCUGGAACUGUCUGCUCUCCUCCGUUUUCCUGCUUUCUUGGGCAAUCAGGAGGGAGGGAGUGAAGAAGAGUCACUGUGGCAAAACUGAAACUGGCCUCCGAAUGGCCUGCUUGUAAGGCUGGCCUUUGGCUGGUGUCUGGGAACUUGAGUUUCAGUAAUCUUCCCAUCUUUCCCUAAUUGACAAAUGUGGCUCCCUGGGCCUAAACUCUCCAAAAAGUUGUGGUUUGGCAGACUUUCGCAGACUGGGAAAGGAGUCCAGGGUGAGAGAAGGGAAGGGGUUUGCAAGGGGCGUGAAGGGACCCUAAAAUGACCAGUGUAUGAUUUAUAUAUGUACUUUUUCUUCAAAAUUACGUAUUACAGACACACACUAAUAAAGAAAUUGUGGUUCUUACUGAAUAAUGCUUGUUUCUCUUUGGAAGCUAGGUAUGAGGAUAUUAGGAUGAUGACUCUUUCAGCUGCAGAAGAGCAAUAGGCUAGGGCUCAUGCAAUUAGAGGGCGUUUAAAUGUCCCCAGUAAAAACUCCAGGUACGGAGUCUCUAUGGAGAUUCCCUGGGAGACAACAUGAC
ensembl:lncRNA